CCUGGUUGAUUCUGCCAGUAGUCAUAUGCUUGUCUCAAAGAUUAAGCCAUGCAUGUCUAAGUAUAAGCAAUUAUACCGUGAAACUGCGAAUGGCUCAUUAAAUCAGUUAUCGUUUAUUUGAUAAUACCUUACUACUUGGAUAACCGUGGUAAUUCUAGAGCUAAUACAUGCUGAAAAUCCCGACUUCGGAAGGGAUGUGUUUAUUAGAUAAAAAACCAAUGCCCUUCGGGGCUCCUUGGUGAUUCAUAAUAACUUUACGGAUCGCAUAGCCUUGCGCUGGCGACGGUUCAUUCAAAUUUCUGCCCUAUCAACUUUCGAUGGUAAGGUAUUGGCUUACCAUGGUUUCAACGGGUAACGGGGAAUUAGGGUUCGAUUCCGGAGAGGGAGCCUGAGAAACGGCUACCACAUCCAAGGAAGGCAGCAGGCGCGCAAAUUACCCAAUCCCGAUUCGGGGAGGUAGUGACAAUAAAUACUGAUACAGGGCUCUUUUGGGUCUUGUAAUUGGAAUGAGUACAAUUUAAACCUCUUAACGAGGAACAAUUGGAGGGCAAGUCUGGUGCCAGCAGCCGCGGUAAUUCCAGCUCCAAUAGCGUAUAUUAAAGUUGUUGCAGUUAAAAAGCUCGUAGUUGAAACUUGGGUCUGGCUGGCGGGUCCGCCUCACCGCGUGCACUCGUCCGGCCGGGCCUUCCUUCUGAAGAACCUCAUGCCCUUUACUGGGCGUGUUGGGGAAUCAGGACUUUUACUUUGAAAAAAUUAGAGUGUUCAAAGCAGGCCUUUGCUCGAAUACGUUAGCAUGGAAUAAUAAAAUAGGGCGUGCGUUUCUAUUUUGUUGGUUUCUAGAGACGCCGCAAUGAUUAACAGGAACAGUCGGGGGCAUCAGUAUUCAGUUGUCAGAGGUGAAAUUCUUGGAUUUACUGAAGACUAACUACUGCGAAAGCAUUUGCCAAGGAUGUUUUCAUUAAUCAGUGAACGAAAGUUAGGGGAUCGAAGACGAUCAGAUACCGUCGUAGUCUUAACCGUAAACUAUGCCGACUAGGGAUCGGGCGAUGUUCUUUUUCUGACUCGCUCGGCACCUUACGAGAAAUCAAAGUUUUUGGGUUCUGGGGGGAUUAUGGUCGCAAGGCUGAAACUUAAAGAAAUUGACGGAAGGUCACCACCAGGCGUGGAGCCUGCGGCUUAAUUUGACUCAACACGGGGAAACUCACCAGGUUCAGAUGAAAUAAGGAUUGACAGAUUGAGAGCUCUUUCUUGAUUUUUCAGGUGGUGGUGCAUGGCCGUUCUUAGUUCGUGGGGUGACUUGUCUGCUUAAUUGCGAUAACGAGCGAGACCUUACUCUGCUAAAUAGCCAGGCUAGCUUUGGCUGGUCGCCGGCUUCUUAGAGAGACUAUCAACUCAAGUUGAUGGAAGUUUGAGGCAAUAACAGGUUAACCUACACAGGCCUGUAACAGUGGGCCUCGUUAAAGAUAACUGCUAGUCUAGCGUCUUAACCUUCUUUGGGGAAGUCCCCUACUGUCGGGAGAAGGCAAGUUUUACUUGUGACGUAGGCAACACCACCUGGUACAGG
rnacentral:rRNA from 1 species